AGGAAGGGCCAAUUUCCUGCACUUAAUGUCUAUCAAGAGUUUCUUUGACUCUGCAGCACGAGAACUCCAGAAUUAUGCUUUGUAAUUCAGGAACUUCAAGGUUUCACAUGGCGUGUAGAUAUAUGGCCAGAUCUGGGAAUGUAAAUCAGCACAGCCCCCUGGAGAUCAAUGGAGCUUCAUUAUGCUAUACCAGUUGAAGAUCUGACCAUGCAUAUAACAGGAGCUGGAUGAAGUCCUUUCAUGUUUCAGGUGUUUUAACUGGAAAAUACUGAAUUCUGGAGAGUUACAAGGAGCAGACACGGUUAACGGAAUCUGCUGGAGGUAUUUUAGCCAC